rnacentral:rRNA from 1 species
GUGAGACAGUUCGGUCCCUAUCUAUCGUGGGCGUAGGAUAUUUGAGAGGGCUUGCUCCUAGUACGAGAGGACCGGAGUGAACGCACCGAUGGUGCACCAGUUGUCACGCCAGUGGCACAGCUGGGUAGCUAUGUGCGGUUGAGAUAAACGCUGAAAGCAUCUAAGCGUGAAACUUGCCUCAAGAUUAGAUAUCCCAUAACAUAAGUUAGUAAGACCCCUUGCAGACCACAAGGUUGAUAGGUCGCAUGUGUAAGCACAGUAAUGUGUUCAGCUGAGCGAUACUAAUAGGUCGAGGGCUUAAUCAC